ACCUGGCUGGCUCAGUUGGUAGAGCAUGUGACUCUUGAUCUCAGGGUCAUGAGUUAAAGCCCCAUGUUGGAGG
rnacentral:tRNA from 1 species